UACGUAGGUCGCAAGCGUUGUCCGGAUUUACUGGGCGGAAAGAGCGCGCAGGCGGCUGGUCAAGUCCGAUGUGAAAUCUCCCGGCUCAACUGGGAAACUGCAUCGGAAACUGAUCGGCUUGAAGAUGGGAGAGGGUAGUGGAAUUCCCGGUGUAGUGGUGAAAUGCGUAGAUAUCGGGAGGAACACCAGUGGCGAAGGCGACUACCUGGCCCAUUCUUGACGCUGAGGCGCGAAAGCUAGGGGAGCGAACGGG
rnacentral:rRNA from 1 species